rnacentral:tRNA from 1 species
GCCCAGGUGGCGGAAUUGGUAGACGCGCUACGUUCAGGUCGUAGUGGUCGUAUGGCCGUGGAGGUUCGAGUCCUCUCCUGGGCACCA